rnacentral:pre_miRNA from 1 species
AAAAAGGCAAACCUUGGUUUUCCGUGUCCAACUUUAACUGUCCGUCUUAUAUGAAAUUUUUUUAUAAUUUAUAUUUUUAUUAUUGUUAGAUGAUAAAACAUGAUUAAUAUUUUAUGUGUGACUUGUCUUUUUAAUUUUUUUUCAUAAUUUUUUCAAAUAAGACGGAUUUUUUCUUUUUUUGGACGAGGGAGUAGCUUGUA